rnacentral:rRNA from 1 species
AUUGAACGCUGGCGGCAGGCCUAACACAUGCAAGUCGAGCGGAGCGGCGGGCGGGUGAUUAAUGCAUAGGAAUCUGACUGGGAGUGGGGGAUAACGUCCGGAUACGGGCGCUAAGAUAGCAUAGUAUCAGAUUAGCCUAGGUCGGCUUAGCUAGUUGGUGGGGUAAAGGCCUACAAAGACGACGAUCCGUAACUGGUCUGAGAGGAUGAUCAGUCACACUGGAACUGAGACACGGUCCAGACUCCUACGGGAGGCAGCAGUGGGGAAUAUUGGACAAUGGGCGAAAGCCUGAUCCAGCCAUGCCGCGUGUGUGAAGAAGGUCUUCGGAUUGUGAAGCACUUUAAGUUGGGAGGCGUUACCAACAGAAUAAGCACCGGCUAACUUCGUGCCAGCAGCCGCGGUAAUAC